AUGCAUGCAGUCGUACGCACGCGCUUCGGCGCGUGAGUGGCGCACGGCUGAGUAACACGUGGGAACCCGCCCUCCGGUGGGGGAUAACGCGACGAAAGUCGCGCUAAUCCCGCAUACGUCCGCAAGGGGAAAGCGCUUCGGCGCGCCGGAGGAGGGGCCUGCGGCCCAUCAGGUGGUUGGUGGGGUAACGGCCUACCAAGCCGAUGACGGGUAGCUGGUCUGGGAGGAUGACCAGCCAGACUGGGACUGAGACACGGCCCAGACUCCUACGGGAGGCAGCAGCAAGGAAUUUUCGGCAAUGGGCGCAAGCCUGACCGAGCAACGCCGCGUGCGGGAUGACGGCCUUCGGGUUGUAAACCGCUUUUCGGGGGGACGACUACGACGGUACCCCCGGAAGAAGCCCCGGCUAACUCUGUGCCAGCAGCCGCGGUAAGACAGAGGGGGCGAGCGUUGUCCGGAGUUACUGGGCGUAAAGCGCGCGCAGGCGGUGGUCUCAGUGUCGUGUGAAAGCCCCCGGCUCAACCGGGGGAGGUCAUGGCAAACUAGACGACUGGAGCGGCGGAGAGGCCCCUCGAAUUGCCGGUGUAGCGGUGAAAUGCGUAGAGAUCGGCAGGAAGACCAAGGGGGAAGCCAGGGGGCUGGCCGCUGGCUGACGCUGAGGCGCGACAGCGUGGGGAGCAAACCGGA
rnacentral:rRNA from 1 species